rnacentral:rRNA from 1 species
CGGCGAGUGAAGCGGGAUGAGCUCAAAUUUGAAAGCUGGCAGUAAUGUCCGCAUUGUAAUCUCGAGAAAUGUUUUCCGCGUUGGACCACGUACAAGUUCCUUGGAAUAGGAUGUCAUAGAGGGUGAAAAUCCCGUACUUGAUGUGGACGCCCAGUGCUUUGUGAUACAUUUUCGAAGAGUCGAGUUGUUUGGGAAUGCAGCUCAAAAUGGGUGGUAAAUUCCAUCUAAAGCUAAAUAUUGGGGAGAGACCGAUAGCGAACAAGUACCGUGAGGGAAAGAUGAAAAGCACUUUGGAAAGAGAGUUAAACAGUACGUGAAAUUGUCAAAAGGGAAGCAUUUGAAGUCAGACGUGUAUUGUAGUAUUCAGCCUUGCUUUUGCUUGGUGUAUUUGCUAUAUUACAGGCCAACAUCAGUUUUGAAUGACGGAUAAGGGUAGAGAGAAUGUGGCACCUUCGGGUGUGUUAUAGCUCUUUA